rnacentral:misc_RNA from 1 species
GAAAUGCGAUAAGUAAUGUGAAUUGCAGAAUUCAGUGAAUCAUCGAAUCUUUGAACGCACAUUGCGCCCGCCAGUAUUCUGGCGGGCAUGCCUGUCCGAGCGUCAUUUCAACCAUCAAGCCCCCGGGCUUGUGUUGGGGACCUGCGGCUGCCCGCAGGCCCUGAAAACCAGUGGCGGGCUCGCUGUCACACCGAGCGUAGUAGCAGUCACCUCGCUCAGGGCGUGCUGCGGGUUCCGGCCGUUAAACAGCCUUACAAAACCCAAGGUUGACCUCGGAUCAGGUAGGAAGACCCGCUGAACUUAAGC